rnacentral:rRNA from 1 species
CUACGGGCUGCAGCAGUAAAGAAUCUUCCGCAAUGGGCGAAAGCCUGACGGAGCGACACCGCGUGGUGGAUGACACCCCUAGGGGCGUAAACACCUUUUAUGAGGGAAGAAGUUCUGACGGUACCUCAUGAAUAAGGACCGGCUAAUUACGUGCCAGCAGCCGCGGGAAUACGUAAGGUCCAAGCGUUAACCGGAAUUAUUGGGCGUAAAGCGUCCGCAGGCGGUUUGCCAAGUUGAUUAUUAAAUACCGGAGCUCAACUUCGGUGCUGUAGUCAAAACUGGUAAACUAGAGAUAUGGAGAGGUGCGUGGAAUUGUGCAAGUAGGGGUAAAAUCCGUAGAUAUGCAUAGGAACACCAAAAGCGAAGGCAGCGCACUGGCCAUUAUCUGACGCUCAGGGACGAAAGCGUGGGGAGCGAAAGGGAUUAGAUACCCUAGUAGUC